UCGAGAAUCUUCCGCAAUGCGCGAAAGCGUGACGGAGCAAUGCCGCGUGCCGGAUGAAGGUCUUCGGAUUGUAAACGGCUGUCACACAGGACGAAUAAAUGACGGUACUGUGGAAGGAAGCACCGGCUAACUCCGUGCCAGCAGCCGCGGUAAUACGGGGGGUGCAAGCGUUGUCCGGAAUCAUUGGGCGUAAAGCGUUCGUAGGCGGUAUAUCAAGUCUGGUGUUAAAGCCCGGGGCUCAACUCCGGUUCGGCACUGGAUACUGGUAAACUAGAAUGCGGUAGAGGUAAGGGGAAUUCCUGGUGUAGCGGUGAAAUGCGUAGAUAUCAGGAGGAACAUCGGUGGCGAAAGCGCCUUACUGGGCUGUAAUUGACGCUGGGGAACGAAAGCCGGGGGAGCAAAUG
rnacentral:rRNA from 1 species